CUCUGGUCUAUAGUAGUACCACUAUAUAGGGAAUAGGGCUCUGGUCUAUAGUAGUACCACUAUAUAGGGAAUAGGGCUCUGGUCUAUAGUAGUACCACUAUAUAGGGAAUAGGACUCUGGUCUAUAGUAGUACCACUAUAUAGGGAAUAGGGCUCUGGUCUAUAGUAGUACCACUAUAUAGGGAAUAGGGCUCUGGUCUAUAGUAGUGUACUAUAUAGGGAAUAGGGCUCUGGUCUAUAGUAGUACCACUAUAUAGGGAAUAGGGCUCUGGUCUAUAGUAGUACCACUAUAUAGGGAAUAGGGCUCUGGUCUAUAGUAGUGUACUAUAUAGGGAAUAGGGCUCU
ensembl:lncRNA